GCGCGCCGCGCUAGGAGGCGGGGCUUCGAGCUGCGUGCGAGGGCCGGCUCCCCGCGGCUUGCCCCGCCUCCUCGGGGCUGGGGUCGCGAAGACCCGGGCGCGCGCCUCAGGCUAGUGUUCCGAGUGCCGCCGUCGGCGGGGACCUUGGGAGGCGCUGGUGCUCUUAGCCACUACGAACUCGGCUUCCAGAGGGGGCUAACUCUGAAACCAGCAUCUCUUCUCCCCCAUUGCCUCCCGCUCCGAGUGAGCUAUUUCUCGCACCUUCUGCACGCGGAUCUCAACACCUGGGCGCUGGGAAGGGAGGUCGACUGCUUUAGAACUCCACCUUAGAGCGGCGCAGCUCAGACCAAGGAACAAAAAAGAAGUUUAGUAAGUGGUUCCUAUGGAGACACUGAUGCUUGAUCUACGCAGUUACCUCCGCGUUCAAUUACUGAUGGUCUGUCGCAACUUGACAGAACUGAGAGGGGGUAACAUGCCCAGGAGCCAAGUAGGAGCCCAUUUGGAAGAGGAAAAAACCUCAGUCUGCUCAGGAGCCUGAGCCACUCCCUCAAGCCAAAGGUCAGAAACAAAGCAGAUUUGGGAGGCUACAAUCAAGGUCAUUUGAGAAGUAAGACCCGGUGUCUUACCCUUACCUAUGGGUGUCCACAUAGAAAUUUAUAGACAUGGGAAAGGCUAGAUAAUGAGAAUGCUCCAUAAAGAGGCACCGUACUUCACCAGGGAGAAAGGCAUCCAAGUUGCUUCACAAAUGUUAAGAAAUAUGCCUAUUUAAUUGUAUGUUGCAUUUUCCCUGGUCUUUGUUUUAUUCAUUUCAUGUGCAGUGAUUAAAAAGAUAUAUUGUACAUUUUAUUAUCUCUUAUGUUUUCCAAUAAAUACAAACCUGGCAUACUUUUUUUCUCAAAUUCUUCUCGGAGGUGUGGUGAACAUCGAGUAAGAUAAUGAUUUUGAAAUGCUUAUGUCUUGUCCAUUUGGGCUGCUAUACCAAAAUACUGAGUCACUUAUGGAUAACAGAAAUUUAUUUCUAACAGUUCUGGAGGCCAGAAAUCUGAAAUCAGGGUGCUGGCAUGGUCAAGUGAGGGCUGUCUUUCAGGUUACAGAUUUCUUGUAUCCUCAUUUGGAGCCUUUUUAAUAAGGCACUAAUCACCUUCCAAAGGCCCCACCUCCUAAUACCAUCACUUUUAGGGGUAAGAAUUUGACGUAUGGAUUUUGGGAGGACACACUCUGUGAGACUGUGAUUUAUAAGAAUUAUAUGUUUGGUCAUUCAGAUGACCAAAAUAUACA